GACGAACGCUGGCGGCGUGCUUAACACAUGCAAGUCGAGCGGAAAGGCCCUUCGGGGUACUCGAGCGGCGAACGGGUGCGUAACACGUGAGUAACCUGCCCCAGACUUUGGGAUAACCCUCGGAAACGGGGGCUAAUACCGGAUACGACACAGCUUCGCAUGGGGUCUGUGUGGAAAGUUUUUCGGUUUGGGAUGGGCUCGCGGCCUAUCAGCUUGUUGGUGGGGUGAUGGCCUACCAAGGCGACGACGGGUAGCCGGCCUGAGAGGGUGACCGGCCACACUGGGACUGAGACACGGCCCAGACUCCUACGGGAGGCAGCAGUGGGGAAUAUUGCACAAUGGGCGGAAGCCUGAUGCAGCGACGCCGCGUGAGGGAUGACGGCCUUCGGGUUGUAAACCUCUUUCAGCAGGGACGAAGCGUAAGUGACGGUACCUGCAGAAGAAGCGCCGGCCAACUACGUG
rnacentral:rRNA from 1 species